rnacentral:rRNA from 1 species
AUUGAACGCUGGCGGCAGGCCUAACACAUGCAAGUCGAGCGGUAACACAGAGGAGCUUGCUCCUUGGGUGACGAGCGGCGGACGGGUGAGUAAUGCCUGGGGAUCUGCCCGAUAGAGGGGGAUAACUACGGGAAACUGUAGCUAAUACCGCAUAAUGUCUACGGACCAAAGUGGGGGCUCUUCGGACCUCAUGCUAUCGGAUGAACCCAGGUGGGAUUAGCUAGUUGGUGAGGUAAUGGCUCACCAAGGCGACGAUCUCUAGCUGUUCUGAGAGGAUAACCAGCCACACUGGAACUGAGACACGGCCCAGACUCCUACGGGAGGCAGCAGUGGGGAAUAUGGCACAAUAGGGAAAUCCCUGAUGCAGCCAUGCCGCGUGUGUGAAGAAGGCCUUCGGGUUGUAAAGCACUUUCAGUGGGGAGGAAGGGCUGAUGACUAAUAUUCAUCAGCAUUGACGUUACCCACAGAAGGAGCACCGGCUAACUCCGUGCCAGCAGCCGCGGUAA